rnacentral:lncRNA from 1 species
UUUUUUUUUUUUGGAAUGGAAAUAACUUUUAUGUGCCUUAAAUCAUAAAGGUAAUGAUUUAUCAUAAAAACUGAAACACCAAAGGCAUACAGAAGGCUACACAACAUGAUGUUAGACUGUUAAUGGGUUAAGGAAGCAUCAUUAAGAAGCCAGGGAAAUAACCAUAAUUCUUCAGAAGUCUGGAAAAACGUUAACUUCUAAUAUAUGUGGGAGUGAAGGAAAAUUAGAGUAUAGGAAGAGAAGAGGAUAGAAAAUUGAGUAAAUUCUAUUCAUCGACAUGCAAACUUUAUCAUUCAUUAGAAAAUAUCUACUACAUAUGGCUGUUAAACGAAUUAAUUGAAAUAGCACAUGUAAAGUUCUCACAACAUGAUAGGCACUAAGUAAACAGUGGUUCUCUUUCUCUCACCUUUGUUUUUUCACUACCAGGAAACUUACUCUAUACCCAGGCUUCCUGAGUAAAUUUUAAGCUGAACUCCCAAAUCUUACAUUAAAAAAAAGUUUAGGAUAAUAAAUAUAUGAAAAAAUUCUCGGCAUAAUUAUUCAUUGGAAAAAUGCAAAUGACAAUGAGAUAUCAGUAACAGCCAGCAGAAUGGCUAAAAUUAAGAAUAUGAAGAACUGAGGAAGAAGAAAACCCUCUGUAACUGGUGGGACUGUUAAUUGGCACAGUGACUUUAGAAAAACUUUUGGCAGCACUUAGUAAAUCUAUAUACACUUUCAUACACACAACGUGAAUGCUUUUGUCCUCCAAAGGAUAUAUAAAAUAGUAUUCAGAUAAUAGCCACCCUCUGGAAAAGAUUAUCCAGCAACAGUAAAAUAUGUCAAUUGUGGUAUAUAACUGCAAUAGAAACCUACACAUGGAUAAAAAAGGAUGAACUAGUGAUACGCACAAUAAUAUAGAUGAAUCUCACAGAUGUAAUGCUGAGUAAAAAGAAGUCAGGUGCAAAAACCUACAUGUCAUCUCUUUCAUUUAUAUGAAAUUCAAAAAGGGGUAAAACAGAAUAAUGGCUCCCCUGGGGGUAAGCACUGACUGCAAGGUGAAUGCCUUCUAUCGCGCUAGAAAUGUGCUAGACCUUCUUAUGUGUGGUGCUGAAAGAAGUUUACACAAUAUAUAAAAAUUCAUUAUGGGCUUCAUUUAAGCUCUGUGCAACUUAACAUACACAAUAUAACUCAACAGAAUUAAGGGGGUAAUGUCAGUGUUUCUGACAUUUCUUUGUAUCAGCAAUUCUCAGUAUUAACAUUGUAUUUGAUCAGUUUUUUUAAUUGCUUGCUCUAUGUUCAGCAACUUUUUCGUUCUUAAAAGUUUUAGUACAUAAAAUGUUAUUUUCAAGAGAAAUCUAGUACCCUUCUUACAAAGCAUACUUUUAAGAGGUGAUUUUUCCCCCAAAGGCCAAACAAAUAAGAGUGAGUCUAUUCAUAGCUCUAAGAGCCAGAGUGGCUGAAACUUAAAUUAAGCCAGUGAUUUUUCCUACCAACGCUUCACUUGGACCACUAAUAACCAAGUCAGACAGCACCACAGCAACAAGUAUGCAGUGGAACCAGAGUGGAGAUUAAUAAGAGUUUUCCCUUUUCUAUGGAAUGAUGUGAAAGCUUUUUUUAUUGUUAACUUUUUUUGUAUUUUUGGAGCCACACCUGUGGCAUAUGGAAGUUCCCCAGCUAGGGGUCGAAUCAGAGCUACAGCGGCCGGGCUACACCAUAGGAAUGCCAGAUCCAAGCUGAGUCUUCGACCUACACCGCAGCUCAGGGCAAUGCCAGACCCUUAACCUACUGAGUGGGACCAGGGAUCAAAUCCGUGCCCUCAAGGAAACUAGUCAGGUUCAUUAUCACUGAGCCACAACGGGAAUUCCUGAAAGCAUUUUUUCCCCCCUCAAUUCUCACUUUUCACUUUGAAGUAACUUUUUAAAAGCAAUAUUAGGUUUGUAACAAAAGCAAAGGUACGGAGAUUUCCUAUACACCCGCCUCCACCCAUAUAGCCACAUCCAUAAUCAACAUCACCCAACUUAGUUAUAAAAUGUCACAA